CAAUAGCGUAUAUUAAAGUUGUUGCAGUUAAAAAGCUCGUAGUUGGAUUUCUGGUGGGAGCGAUCGGUCUGGCGCUUAGCGCGAGUACUUGCAUCGUCUCCGGCCAUCCUUGGGGAGAGUCUGUCUGGCAUUAGGUUGUCGGGCAGAGGAUCCUCAUCGUUUACUGUGAAAAAAUUAGAGUGUUCAAAGCAGGCUUAUGCCGUUGAAUAUAUUAGCAUGGAAUAAUAAGAUAGGACUUUGGUACUAUUUUGUUGGUUUGCGCACCAAAGUAAUGAUUAAUAGGGACAGUUGGGGGUAUUCGUAUUCCGUUGUCGGAGGUGAAAUUCUUGGAUUUACGGAAGACGAACUACUGCGAAAGCAUUUACCAAGGAUGUUUUCAUUAA
rnacentral:rRNA from 1 species